rnacentral:rRNA from 1 species
CGGCGAGUGAAGCGGCAACAGCUCAAAUUUGAAAUCUGGCGUCUUCGGCGUCCGAGUUGUAAUUUGCAGAGGGCGCUUUGGCAUUGGCAGCGGUCCAAGUUCCUUGGAACAGGACGUCACAGAGGGUGAGAAUCCCGUACGUGGUCGCUAGCCUUUACCGUGUAAAGCCCCUUCGACGAGUCGAGUUGUUUGGGAAUGCAGCUCUAAAUGGGAGGUAAAUUUCUUCUAAAGCUAAAUACUGGCCAGAGACCGAUAGCGCACAAGUAGAGUGAUCGAAAGAUGAAAAGCACUUUGGAAAGAGAGUUAAAAAGCACGUGAAAUUGUUGAAAGGGAAGCGCUUGCAGCCAGACUUGCCUGUAGUUGCUCAUCCGGGUUUCUACCCGGUGCACUCUUCUAUAGGCAGGCCAGCAUCAGUUUGGGCGGUUGGAUAAAGGUCUCUGUCAUGUACCUCCUCUCGGGGAGAACUUAUAGGGGAGACGACAUGCAACCAGCCCGGACUGAGGUCCGCGCAUCUGCUAGGAUGCUGGCGUAAUGGCUGUAAGCGGCCCGUCUUGAAACACGGACCAAGGAGUCUAACAUCUAUGCGAGUGUUUGGGUGUCAAGCCCGAACGCGUAAUGAAAGUGAACGGAGGUGGGAACCUUUCGGGGUGCACCAUCGACCGAUCCUGAUGUCUUCGGAUGGAUUUGAGUAAGAGCAUAGCUGUUGGGACCCGAAAGAUGGUGAACUAUGCUUGAAUAGGGUGAAGCCAGAGGAAACUCUGGUGGAGGCUCGCAGCGGUUCUGACGUGCAAAUCGAUCGUCAAAUUUGGGCAUAGGGGCGAAAGACUAAUCGAACUAUCUAGUAGCUGGUUCCUGCCGAAGUUUCCCUCAGGAUAGCAGUAACGUUUUCAGUUUUAUGAGGUAAAGCGAAUGAUUAGAGGCCUGGGGGUUGAAACAACCUU